rnacentral:rRNA from 1 species
UCGAACGCUGGCGGCAUGUCUAAGGCAUGCAAGUCGAACGUUCCAUUCUGCGAUUAUAUCAAGGUCUAGAAAGUGGCAAACGGGAGAGUAACGCAUUGGUAACUCACCCUGCACUCGUGAAUAACCCAUGGAAACGUGGGCUAAUACACGAUAUUGAGGGAAGGUCUAUGACCUUUCUUUGAAAGCUCCGGCGGUGCGGGAGAGGCCUAUGUUCUAUCAGCUAGUUGGCGGAGUAAAAGCCCACCAAGGCUAUGACGGAUACCGGGCGUGAGAGCGUGACCCGGCUCACUGGGACUGAGAUACUGCCCAGACACCUACGGGUGGCUGCAGUCAAGAAUCUUCCACAAUGCACGAAAGUGUGAUGGAGCAAUGCCGCGUGUCGGAUGAAGGCCUUCGGGUCGUAAACGACUGUUCUGGGGGACGAACCUAUGACGGUACCCCAGCAGAAAGUGGUUGCUAACUCUGU